rnacentral:rRNA from 1 species
AUUGAACGCUGGCGGAAUGCUUUACACAUGCAAGUCGAACGGCAGCACGGACUUCGGUCUGGUGGCGAGUGGCGAACGGGUGAGUAAUGUAUCGGAACGUGCCCAGUCGUGGGGGAUAACGUAGUGAAAAUUACGCUAAUACCGCAUACGAUCUAUGGAUGAAAGCGGGGGAUCCCAAGACCUCGCGCGAUUGGAGCGGCCGAUAUCAGAUUAGGUAGUUGGUGGGGUAAAGGCCCACCAAGCCAACGAUCUGUAGCUGGUCUGAGAGGACGACCAGCCACACUGGAACUGAGACACGGUCCAGACUCCUACGGGAGGCAGCAGUGGGGAAUUUGGGACAAUGGGCGAAAGCCUGAUCCAGCCAUUCCGCGUGCAGGACGAAGGCCCUCGGGUUGUAAACUGCUUUUGUACAGAACGAAAAGGUUUCUACUAAUACUAGGAGCUCAUGACGGUACUGUAAGAAUAAGCACCGGCUAACUACGUGCCAGCAGCCGCCGUAA